rnacentral:rRNA from 1 species
UACGAAGGGGGUUAGCGUGUCUCGGAAUCACUGGGCGUAAAGCGCACGUAGGCGGAUCUUUAAGUCAGGGGGUGAAAUCCUGGAGCUCAACUCCAGAACUGCCUUUGAUACUGGGGACUCUCGAGUCCGGGAAGAGGUGAGUGGAACUGCGAGUGUAGAGGUGAAAUUCGUAGAUAUUAGGAAGAACACCAGUGGCGAAGGCGGCUCACUGGCCCGGUACUGACGCUGAGGCGCGAAAGCGUGGGGAGCAACAGG